rnacentral:rRNA from 1 species
GUACCGUAAACCGACACAGGUGGAAUAGAUGAGUAUUCUAAGGCGCGUGGGUUAAAUCUCUCUAAGGAACUCGGCAAACUGACCCCGUAUGUUAGCUAUAAGGGGUGCCUCGCAAGAGGCCACAGAUAAGAGUGUCAACCGACUGUUUAGCAAAAACACAGCUCUCUGCUAAGUCGCAAGACGACGUAUAGGGAGUGACAUGUGACCAAUGCGGAAAGGUGAAAGCGUGAGGUGCAAGCUUCGCGUCUAAGCCCCCGUGAAUGUCGGCCGUAACUAUAACGGUCCUAA